UUUGGAAAGUGGCAUAUAUGAUUGUGAAAUUUGAAAAAGAGUGUGUAUGUUUGAAAAUGAAAAGUAUGAAACAGUAAAUGUACUGUUUGGAGUGGUGAAGAUAGUCUUGACAACCCUAUUUACUCAAAAUGACAUGUUUGCCUUCUGCUUAACUUAAUUCCAAUAAACAUAUUAUUGGAACCAACCAUUGAAUUAUAUAUAGUUGAUAACAGCCUUGAGAAGAAACUUGCCUGUGGAGGACCAUGUUCAGAGGUUUGAUGCCUAUAUUCAUGCAUAAUCCAGUCCGUUUUCCUUCCAUUAGGGGCACGUCCCUUGUAGAAGACCAAGGGUUCGAUUUUGUAGAGAUCAAUCUCAACAAUAACAUCUAGAUCGAUUUUUAGGGAGUUUAUCUUCCUCUUGAGAUAGUACCCCACAAGCUCCUCUUCUGUUGGAUGAAAUCUGAAUCCUGGAGGCACACAUGAUUCCAUAUCAACUGAUGAUCUCUCCUGAAACAAGCAAAGGAAAAGGAGUCAUUUGUGAAAGAUCAAUUUCACCAUUUAUGUUUCCAUUUUAGACUGAAUAUUAUGCAUAGAAGUUUGUCUUGUUCUCUUUUACGUGAAUCAAGAGAAAAACAAAUGAUUAUGAAACGAAAAAUAAGACGCUCAAAUUGAUUUUGCAAAUUCCUGAUGGUAAGGGCAGCAUUGGAAGAUAAGGAAAAAAAUCAGUGGCCAUUGGCUUCGUGUUGCACUUCAUCAAAGUCAUAAUAGUUUACAACCUUAUAGCUCUAAAAACCUCUAGGGAUGAGAUAUUUUGAAGUAAUGAUGAUGAUGAUGAUGUAUAACUUUGGUAUUGGACCCAACAAUUGUGCA
rnacentral:sRNA from 1 species